rnacentral:lncRNA from 1 species
GGAAAGCUUGACGAGGCUGCAGGCAGACAACUGUCAUCCCUUGAUCAGCUUUUUUGUUACAGGAAGAAAGGUCGUCAUUGUGAAAUGCAGCCUGUAGGGAGUAAACAAAAUACUGCCGUGCUUAAUAAGCCGUCCAUUCAUUUUCUUAAUCUCCUGCGAGGUUUUUUCUUUUUUAAAUGAAAAAAAUCAUUUUGUCUACUUUCUCCUCACUGAAAGACCUUACUAGAAGUAAUAUUCUGGGAUGUUUGGUCCUGCGCCCUGCUGUCUUCUCCCGAAAGCUCUGCGUCAAAGCACAGCGGCCAGGCUUUAAAACUCCGAGAGGGAUACACGGGCCGAAUCAGUGCCCGCCCUGCAUCUUGCUGGCUGCGGUUGGGCACGCUGGGCAGGCUUUGCCCUAUACCCCAAGACAUUGGCGGGUCUAGAAACUACAAGUAUUCAGGAGAAUUCCUCUUUUUCUCAUUUUCUGAUAAAAAUUUCAGGCGAUGACCCCUUUGCUUCUGGACUGCUAUGAUCACGAGGAUGCCCAGGGAGAGGGGAAAGCUGGGACCAUUCAUUGAGCUGAAUAUGAUAAGCUUUGGUAACCAUGCUGUCAAUAUAGAAACUUCCGCCUGAUACAGUGGGGAGGCUGGGAGCAUGUGCCGUCCAACAUACCAACGAAAUUUAAACUGGACUCCCUCACCAGCUUCAGUUUUAAUAUGAUGAAUAUAUGAGGCAUUACAUGGAAAUAAUAUAUACUUGGUAUAUUUGUACUUCUAAAAUAUUUAAAUAAAGUGUC